UCUGCACUGUGGCUGUCU
rnacentral:piRNA from 1 species